CUACAGAGGGUGCAAGCGUUAAUCGGAUUUACUGGGCGUAAAGCGCGCGUAGGCGGUUUGGUCAGUCGGAUGUGAAAGCCCCAGGCUCAACCUGGGAAUGGCAUUCGAUACUGCCUGACUAGAGUAUGGUAGAGGGAAGUGGAAUUUCCGGUGUAGCGGUGAAAUGCGUAGAUAUCGGAAGGAACACCAGUGGCGAAGGCGACUUCCUGGGCCAAUACUGACGCUAAGGUGCGAAAGCGUGGGGAGCAAACAGGAUUAGAAACCCCAGUAGUCC
rnacentral:rRNA from 1 species